CUUUCGAUAGGCGUCGACCGGCGCACGGGUGAGUAACGCGUAUCCAACCUGCCCAUAACUAAGGGAUAAUCCGUAGAAAUGCGGUCUAAUACCUUAUGUGAUCCGAGGAAGACAUCUGAUUGGAUUAAAGAUUUAUCGGUUAUGGAUGGGGAUGCGUCUGAUUAGAUUGUUGGCGGGGCAACGGCCCACCAAGUCUGCGAUCAGUAGGGGUUCUGAGAGGAAGGUCCCCCACAUUGGAACUGAGACACGGUCCAAACUCCUACGGGAGGCAGCAGUGAGGAAUAUUGGUCAAUGGGCGGGAGCCUGAACCAGCCAAGUAGCGUGCAGGAUGACGGCCCUAUGGGUUGUAAACUGCUUUUGCAGGGGGAUAAAGUGAGUCACGUGUGACUUAUUGCAGGUACCCUGCGAAUAAGGACCGGCUAAUUCCGUGCCAGCAGCCGCGGUAAUACGGAAGGUCCGGGCGUUAUCCGGAUUUAUUGGGUUUAAAGGGAGCGUAGGCCGUGGAUUAAGUGUGUUGUGAAAUGUAGGCGCUCAACGUCUGACUUGCAGCGCAUACUGGUCCACUAGAGUGCGCGCAACGCGGGCGGAAUUUGUCGUGUAGCGGUGAAAUGCUUAGAUAUGACGAAGAACCCCGAUUGCGAAGGCAGCUCGCGGGAGCGCAACUGACGCUGAAGCUCGAAAGUGCGGGUAUCGAACAGGAUUAGAUACCCUGGUAGUCCGCACGGUAAACGAUGGAUGCCCGCUAUCGGCGCCUGGCGCCGGUGGCCAAGCGAAAGCGUUAAGCAUCCCACCUGGGGAGU
rnacentral:rRNA from 1 species